AAACCAACAGGGAUUGCCUUAGUAACGGCGAGUGAAGCGGCAAAAGCUCAAAUUUGAAAUCUGGCACCUUCGGUGUCCGAGUUGUAAUUUGAAGAAGGUGACUUUGGGAUUGGCUCUUGUCUAAGUUCCUUGGAACAGGACGUCACAGAGGGUGAGAAUCCCGUGCGAUGAGAUGACCAAUCCUAUGUAAAGUGCUUUCGAAGAGUCGAGUUGUUUGGGAAUGCAGCUCUAAGUGGGUGGUAAAUUCCAUCUAAAGCUAAAUAUUGGCGAGAGACCGAUAGCGAACAAGUACAGUGAUGGAAAGAUGAAAAGAACUUUGAAAAGAGAGUGAAAAAGUACGUGAAAUUGUUGAAAGGGAAGGGCUUGAGAUCAGACUUGGUAUUUUGCAUUCCUUACCUUCGUGGUGGGGUUCCUUGCAGUUUACUGGGCCAGCAUCGGUUUGGAUGGUGGGAUAAUGGCAUUGGAAUGUGGCUCUGCUUCGGUAGAGUGUUAUAGCCAGUGUUGAUACCGCCUGUCUAGACCGAGGACUGCGUCUUUGACUAGGAUGCUGGCAUAAUGAUCUUAAGUCGC
rnacentral:rRNA from 1 species